rnacentral:rRNA from 1 species
ACGAACGCUGGCGGCGCGUCUUAAGCAUGCAAGUCGAACGGCAAGAGAGGAGCUUGCUUCUCUCCUAGAGUGGCGGACUGGUGAGGAACACGUGGGUAAUCUACCCUUAAGAUGGGGAUAGCUGCUAGAAAUAGCAGGUAAUACCGAAUACACUCGGCAUAUCACACGAGGUGUUGAGGAAAGGAAGCUACGGCUUCGCUUGAGGAUGAGCUUGCGUCCCAUUAGCUAGUUGGUGAGGUAAAGGCCCACCAAGGCGACGAUGGGUAUCCGGCCUGAGAGGGUGAACGGACACAUUGGGACUGAGAUACGGCCCAAACUCCUACGGGAGGCAGCAGCUAAGAAUAUUCCGCAAUGGACGGAAGUCUGACGGAGCGACGCCGCGUGGAUGAAGAAGGCUGAAAAGUUGUAAAAUCCUUUUGUUGAUGAAGAAUAAGGGUGAGAGGGAAUGCUCAUCUGAUGACGGUAAUCGACGAAUAAGCCCCGGCUAAUUACGUG